rnacentral:rRNA from 1 species
GUGAGGAAUAUUGGUCAAUGGGCGCAAGCCUGAACCAGCCAUGCCGCGUGCAGGAAGACGGUCCUAUGGAUUGUAAACUGCUUUUAUUUGGGAAUAAACUCCGGUACGUGUACCGGCCUGAAGGUACCAAAUGAAUAAGCACCGGCUAACUCCGUGCCAGCAGCCGCGGUAAUACGGAGGGUGCAAGCGUUAUCCGGAAUCAUUGGGUUUAAAGGGUCCGCAGACGGUCAUAUAAGUCAGUGGUGAAAGCCUACAGCUCAACUGUAGAACUGCCAUUGAUACUGUAGGACUUGAAUUCGAUCGAAGUGGGCGGAAUGUGACAUGUAGCGGUGAAAUGCUUAGAUAUGUCACAGAACACCGAUAGCGAAGGCAGCUCACUAGGUCUGGAUUGACGCUCAGGGACGAAAGCGUGGGGAGCAAACAGGAUUAGAUCCCUUGUAGUCC